rnacentral:rRNA from 1 species
CCCUACGGGGGGCAGCAGUGGGGAAUAUUGCACAAUGGGGGAAACCCUGAUGCAGCGACGCCGCGUGAAGGACGAAGUAUUUCGGUACGUAAACUUCUAUCAGCAGGGAAGAAAAUGACGGUACCUGACCAAGAAGCCCCGGCUAACUACGUGCCAGCAGCCGCGGUAAUACGUAGGGGGCAAGCGUUAUCCGGAUUUACUGGGUGUAAAGGGAGCGUAGACGGCCGUGCAAGUCCGAUGUGAAAACCCGGGGCCCAACCCCGGAACUGCUUUGGAAACUGUACAGCUAGAGUGCAGGAGGGGUG